rnacentral:tRNA from 3 species
CGGGGCGUAGCGCAGCCUGGUAGCGCACAUGGUUCGGGACCAUGGAGUCGGAGGUUCAAAUCCUCUCGCCCCGACCA